UUUUCCUACGUGACCUACCUAGGGACCUAAGUAAGGAGAACUAAACUAAAAGUCUCAUUGCAUUACAUAUUGCUAUUACCAUAAUACCCAGGAAAACCAGCCCUGGACAAGAACCCCACCACAAAAAAGGUACAAACACUGGAAGAUUGCUGCCUUCAGAAAACUUAAAAAUAAGACAGCAGUGAAGUUUAGAGAGGUGUCUGAAGCAAGCCAAGUAUGUAAACACCUAGAACCCACACCUAUAAACACAUUGAAACCCAACUAGAUACUCAAAAUACUAACUGUGCAGUCAAACAGAGAGACAAAACAUCUGCUGGUAAAGAUGCCAUUGUACUUUUCCUAUCUAGGCAAAGGAGGGCUUCUUAUUUUACAGCUGUAGCACAAAAGUAUGCAAUAAACAUAUAAGGCAUUAUCUCUCUCCCUUUGAAAGGGAAGUUGCUAAGAGAAUGGAGUCUGCUGCUUUCAAAUUCAACAAACACUCCUGGCACAGCUGCCUACUCACCUGAUAGAAAUACCCUACAAACGAUGUGACAGUGCAUACCUCUCCUCCACUAAAACCCUAAUAACAGAAACAAGGAAAGAAAUCAGCAAACGGAAGAGAAGAGAAGCUGUUUUUAUUUAUUAGAUGCAAAUCAAACACUGUAGCUUCUAGACACUGAUACUGUACACACCAUACAGCCAAAUGAGAACAGAAAGAGACUUUCCUCACAACUAGAAAACUUCUGCAACUUGGAUUCACCAAGUUUUGGGGGUUUACAAUGAGAACCAAGGAUGCAGAAGUGAGGGCAGGAUUACAGAAUCAUAGAACGGCUUGGGUUGGAAGGGACCUUAAAGAUCAUUGACAGUUACUGUUCUCAGUGUAAUCCUCUGAGCAGAAAAGAUCAUGCAAUUAUGUGGACUUUGUAUCCUCCCAUUUUCUCAUCCAGGACAGAAAUGUGUAUUUUAAAUGCAUAAAUGCAUCAUGUUUUCCUUCAUUCUGUUCUUCUGGAGUGACUUUUUUUUUUUUUUUUCCCCAAACAGAGGAUUGCUGCUGUUCAGUGAUAUUCCCACUGCUUAAAAAGGUGCAGUGCCUUCUCUUUGCAAGAAGCAAAUCUAUUAAUAUUACCUGUCUUGAAAAAAAAAAAACAUACGGAGUUAACUAUUUAGAGCCUUAACAAUACAGUGGAGAUUAUUUCAGGGUUGCAGUUCAAGCACUGUUGAAGUCUGCCUCCUCCUCUUCCCUCCCCCCACUUCUUUUUUUUAAAGCAGUUUAGGAGUAGAUCAGACAAUUACAGUUCAGUGUCUGGUAGGAAAACAGAAAAACAUAUGACUGUAACUAUAGCAAUGAUAAUGUUGAUAUAAGAAAUUCCAAUGUCCAAGGAUUUAAAAGCCAAACACAGAAAUCUAAUUAGAACCUUCGACAAAAACUGGGUGAAUAAAUAAAUUGUAUGCUGAAGAAAAUACUGGGGGAAAAAAAAUAAACAUUUUCCCCAAAUGAGCUCAAACAUCUCAUUUAAAAGAAAAAUGAAGACACAAUUUCAAUGAAAGAUUAUUUCAUGACUUUAGGGAAAAUGUAGACAUACAGAGUGAAACAAUAAUGCAUUAAGUUUUCCCAAAUAUGGUAAAUAUCAAACCAUAACAAUUUAUCAUCAGAACUGAACAUGCAUUUUUCUAAUUAGAUCAAUGCUAUGAACUGUUGCCACACCCUGAAAAAUGCUCU
rnacentral:lncRNA from 1 species